rnacentral:tRNA from 1 species
GAUUCCGUAGCUCAGCUGGGAGAGCGCUACCUUGACAGGGUAGAGGUCGCUGGUUCGAGCCCUGUCGGAAUCA